rnacentral:rRNA from 1 species
CAGCAGCCACGGGAAUACGUAGGUGGCGAGCGUUGUCCGGAUUUAUUGGGCGUAAAGGGAGUGUAGGCGGUCUUUUAAGUCUGAUGUGAAAGCCCACGGCUCAACCGUGGAGGGUCAUUGGAAACUGGGAGACUUGAGUGCAGAAGAGGAGAGUGGAAUUCCACGUGUAGCGGUGAAAUGCGUAGAGAUGUGGAGGAACACCAGUGGCGAAGGCGACUCUCUGGUCUGUAACUGACGCUGAGGAGCGAAAGCGUGGGGAGCGAACAGGAUUAGAUACCCCAGUAGUCCCUGUCUCUUAUAC